CGCGGCCUAUCAGCUUGUUGGUGAGGUAAUGGCUCACCAAGGCGACGACGGGUAGCCGGCCUGAGAGGGUGACCGGCCACACUGGGACUGAGACACGGCCCAGACUCCUACGGGAGGCAGCAGUGGGGAAUAUUGCACAAUGGGCGAAAGCCUGAUGCAGCGACGCCGCGUGAGGGAUGACGGCCUUCGGGUUGUAAACCUCUUUCAGUAGGGAAGAAGCGAAAGUGACGGUACCUGCAGAAGAAGCGCCGGCUAACUACGUGCCAGCAGCCGCGGUAAUACGUAGGGCGCAAGCGUUAUCCGGAAUUAUUGGGCGUAAAGAGCUCGUAGGCGGUUUGUCGCGUCUGCCGUGAAAGUCCGGGGCUCAACUCCGGAUCUGCGGUGGGUACGGGCAGACUAGAGUGAUGUAGGGGAGACUGGAAUUCCUGGUGUAGCGGUGAAAUGCGCAGAUAUCAGGAGGAACACCGAUGGCGAAGGCAGGUCUCUGGGCAUUAACUGACGCUGAGGAGCGAAAGCAUGGGGAGCGAACAGGAUUAGAUACCCUGGUAGUCCAUGCCGUAAACGUUGGGCACUAGGUGUGGGGGACAUUCCACGUUUUCCGUACCGUAGCUAACGCAUUAAGUGCCCCGCCUGGGGAGUACGG
rnacentral:rRNA from 1 species